rnacentral:lncRNA from 1 species
GGGAAGUGCGCAGGUGUGAGCCUGAAGAAGGACGAGCGUAACGUCUGCUGCGGACAAAAUCCUAAACUAAAGCAUAGAUUUUAGGACUUGGAGGAUGGCUCAACGAGUAAAGCUACUUGCUGGCAAGCGUGGAGACGAUGCUCAGGCUUCACCUAUAUGGUGGCUGGGGAAAACUGACUUUUCAAAUUGGCCUCUGACUUCCAAAUGCGCACCCUAGCGGGUGGGUGUGGGUGUGCGCGCGCGCCUGUGUGCGCGCAGAGUAAUAAACACUUAAAAGUUAUAGAUUAAAAAUUAUAGUAAAC